rnacentral:misc_RNA from 1 species
GAUGAAGAACGUAGCGAAAUGCGAUACUUGGUGUGAAUUGCAGAAUCCCGUGAACCAUCGAGUCUUUGAACGCAAGUUGCGCCCGAAGCCAUCAGGUUGAGGGCACGUCUGCCUGGGCGUCACAUAUCGUUGCCCAAUGCCUAUUGCAGUGCAAUAGGAAUUUCUAGGGCGAAUGAUGGCUUCCCGUGAGCGUUGUUGCCUCGCGGUUGGUUGAAAAUCGAGUCCUUGGUAGGGUGUGCCAUGGUAGAUGGUGGUCGAGUUAGAACGAUACCGAUCAUGUGCAUGCUCCCCAAAAUAUGGCCUCUAUGACCCACACGCGUCUUUUGACGCUCAUGACGAGACCUCAGGUCAGGCGUGGCUACCCGCUGAAUUUAAGCAUAUCAAUAAGCGGAGGA